rnacentral:piRNA from 1 species
UUGCAGUACUUUCUUAUAGUU